UUUCUGAAUUGAUGUUUUUAUAGAUCCAGAAAGCCACCAACUCCUCUCGAAGUGAACCUGAAGGGCGAAAAGGCACUAUUUCACAAUAUUUCACUACUUUACACUGUCCUGUGUGUGAUGACCUGACGCAGCAUGGCAUCUGUAGUAAAUGUCGGAGCCAACCUCAGCAUGUUGCAGUCAUCCUCAACCAAGAAAUUCGAGAGUUGGAACGUAAAAAGGAGCAACUUGUAAAGAUAUGCAAGAACUGUACAGGGUGCUUUGAUCGACAUAUCCCGUGUGUUUCUCUGAACUGCCCAGUACUUUUCAAACUCUCCCGAGUAAAUAGAGAAUUAUCCAAGGCACCAUAUCUCCGGCAAUUACUAGACCAGUUUUAAAUUGUCAAUAUCACAGAAUUCCAGGUGCUAUUUUUUUUUCAGUGUUUACCACUAAACUGUUGUGCAUGGUGCUUUCUCAACUUUCAUCGAGUCAAGUAUGUUCACUGUCUCUUAUCUGAAGACUGAAGGCUUUUAUGCUAACUGAAUUAAAAAUUGUACUUGUUGAUCUCUGAAUAGCUCACUUCUUACAAUGUACAAAUUCUUCAUCCUUUUAUAACGUAUGUGUUGAAUUUGCUCCAGUAUGUGUAACAUCUUGUAAAUCCAUUUGAGUAGAUGAUACUUACUUCCCUGUGGAAGGAGCACUGAAAACCUCUUUAAAAAAAAAAAAACAAAAAAAAAAACAAAAAAACCAUUCGUGUGUUUCCCUUGAACUGUCUGUAUCAAGACGUGUUACUUAGAGAUACUCAUUCACUUUAUAAUUUUGACUGCGAAAUAUUUUGUAAAUACACUUUUUUACUUUUCAAACAACUGAGUAAAAUAAUGUGCAAUGAAUUUUAUACAAAUGAUUUUCAAGUUGUUAGGUAUAUUUCCUCUAGGUUUUGCUUGACUCAGAGUAGAGUUGUUAUUUUGAUCGAACUGUGCAAACAGUAGUACCAUGUGUAGCAUUUUGAAACGUUAUUUUCUAAAACCGCUGUCUUGCUUUAGCUAUUCCUGGGGCAUUGUGAGGAACUGUGCAAAGACAUUUUUGUUACAAACCUGUGGGCCUGUUGCAAUACUUUAAAAAUAAAUUUUAUUCCAUUUUUGCUUGUUUUGUAUAGACAUUUCUAUUGCUUCUAAAUAUGCUUAAAAUAUUUUCUUUCCUUAUGUACUGUACAGUUAAUCUUAUUUGCCAUCAUCUUGAACACAAAAUGUGUAUUUAGAAUAUUUGUAUAACUGUAUAAAACGAAAAAGGAA